AGCGAAAUGCGAUACGUAAUGUGAAUUGCAGAAUUCAGUGAAUCAUCGAAUCUUUGAACGCAUCUUGCGCCCCUUGGCAUUCCGAGGGGCACACCCGUUUGAGUGUCGUGAAAUCCUCAACCUUUCCUCCUUUUUUGGAGGAAAAGGCUUGGAUGUUGGAGGCUUUUGCUGGCCUCUUUCUCUGAUGGCAAGCCAGCUCCUCUUAAAGAAAUUAGUGGGAUCCCCUUUGCCGAUCUCCUCGACGUGAUAAGCCUUCUUUGACGUGGCAUCGAGAGGCGGAGAGAGAGGCCUGCUUUCUAACCGUUAGAUGUUUGACCCUUCUGACCUCAAAUCGGGUGAGACUACCCGCUGAACUUAAGCAUAUCAAUAAGCGGAGGAAAAGAAAUUACCAAGGAUUCCCCUAGUAACUGCGAGUGAAGCGGGAAAAGCUCAAAUUUAAAUUC
rnacentral:rRNA from 1 species